rnacentral:rRNA from 1 species
UUAUAUGUGUCACACAGGACUGCUGGUAGUUAAGCCGGAGGAAGGUGGGGACGACGUCAAGUCAGCAUGACCUUUAUAUCCAGGGCUACACACACGCUACAAUGGUCAGUACAAUGGGUUGCCAAGCCGCGAGGCGGAGCCAAUCCUAAAAAGCUGGCCUCAGUUCAGAUUGCAGUCUGAAACUCGACUGCAUGAAGUCGGAGUUGCUAGUAAACGCAGGUCAGCUAUACUGCGUUGAAUACGUUCCCGGGGCUU